GAAAAAAACAGAAAGAGAGCUCCCAGUGUAGCAUAGUAAUUCAUAUAUACAUAAAUAAAUAAAGCAAAGUGAAUUACUAUGCUGCACUAGGAGCUCUCUUUCUGUUUUUGUUUUACCAC